rnacentral:rRNA from 1 species
UACGAAGGGGGCUAGCGUUGUUCGGAAUUACUGGGCGUAAAGGGCGCGUAGGCGGUGUGUCAAGUCAGGCGUAAGACCCGGCCCUGGCACCAGGAGACCGCGCUUGAGACUGGCACGCUAGAGUUCGGGAGAGGAUGGUGGAAUUCCCAGUGUAGAGGUGAAAUUCGUAGAUAUUGGGAAGAACACCGAUGGCGAAGGCAGCCAUCUGGACCGACACUGACGCUGAGGCGCGAAAGCGUGGGGAGCAAACAGG